GCGGAGGGAUCAUUACAGAGUUAUCAAAACUCCCAAACCCAUGUGAACAUACCUCGCGUUGCCUCGGCAGGUGGCGUCUCGCCCCGUAAGAACCUACCCUGUAGGACCUUACCCGGUAGACGACCCUGCCGACGGCCCCCGAAACUCUGUUUUAUAGCAUUAAACUUCUGAAAAUAUAACUAAAUAAGUUAAAACUUUCAACAACGGAUCUCUUGGUUCUGGCAUCGAUGAAGAACGCAGCGAAAUGCGAUAAGUAAUGUGAAUUGCAGAAUUCAGUGAAUCAUCGAAUCUUUGAACGCACAUUGCGCCCACUAGUAUUCUGGUGGGCAUGCCUGUUCGAGCGUCAUUUCAACCCUUAAGCCCCUGUUGCUUAGCGUUAGGAGCCUACCGGAACUCUCUGGUAGCUCCCCAAAGUCAGUGGCGGAGCCGGUUCGCACUCCAGACGUAGUAGCUUUUACACGUCGCCUGUAGCGCGGGCCGGUCCCCUGCCGUAAAACACCCCAAUUUUUAUAGGUUGACCUCGGAUCAGGUAGGAAUACCCGCUGAACUUAAGCAUAUCAAUAAGCGGAGGAAAG
rnacentral:rRNA from 1 species